CUAGCCGUAAACGAUGGACACUAGGUGUUGGAGGCAUCGACCCCUCCAGUGCUGUUUUGCUAACGCGUUAAGUGUCCCGCCUGGGGAGUACGGCCGCAAGGUUGAAACUCAAAGGAAUUGACGGGGGCCCGCACAAGCGGUGGAGCGUGUGGGUUAAUUGGAUGAUACGCCAAGAACCUUACCAGGGCUUGACAUGGCCAUGUAAGGCGUGGAAACACGUCCCCCUAGCAAUAGGCAUGGUCACAGAAGG
rnacentral:rRNA from 1 species